rfam:Salmo salar isolate Sally breed double haploid chromosome ssa05, whole genome shotgun sequence.
GCUCAGUUGGUAGAGCAUGGUGUUUGCAAUGCCAGGGUUGUGGGUUCGAUUCCCAC